GGAGGGGUGGCUGAGUGGUCGAAGGCAACGGUCUUGAAAACCGUCAGGGUAGCAAUACCCUCGUGGGUUCGAAUCCCACCCCCUCCGCCA
rnacentral:tRNA from 1 species